GAAUUCCCCGUGAAGAUGCGGGGUUCCUGCGGUCAGACGGAAAGACCCCGUGCACCUUUACUACAACUUCACACUGGCAUCAGGCCAAGCAUGUGCAGGAUAGGUGGUAGGCUUUGAAGCAGAGACGCCAGUUUCUGUGGAGCCUCCCUUGAGAUACCACCCUUGCUUUGCUUGAUGUCUAACCGCGGUAGG
rnacentral:rRNA from 1 species